rnacentral:rRNA from 1 species
GAUGAACGCUGGCGGCGUGCCUAAUACAUGCAAGUCGAGCGAACGGACGAGAAGCUUGCUUUUCUGAUGUUAGCGGCGGACGGGUGAGUAACACGUGGAUAACCUACCUAUAAGACUGGGAUAACUUCGGGAAACCGGAGCUAAUACCGGAUAAUAUUUUGAACCGCAUGGUUCAAAAGUGAAAGACGGUCUUGCUGUCACUUAUAGAUGGAUCCGCACUGCAUUAGCUAGUUGGUAAGGUAACGGCUUACCAAGGCAACGAUGCAUAGCCGACCUGAGAGCGUGAUCGGCCAGACUGGAACUGAGACACGGUCCAGACUCCUACGGGAAGCAGCAGUAGGGAAUCUUCCGCAAUGGGCGAGAGCCUGACGGAGCAACGCCGCGUGAGUGAUGAAGGUCUUCGGAUCGUAGAACUCUGUUAUUAGGGAAGAACAUAUGUGUAAGUAACUGUGCACAUCUUGACGGUACCUAAUCAGAAAGCCACGGCUAACUACGUG